rnacentral:rRNA from 1 species
AGUGAACGCUGGCGGUAGGCCUAACACAUGCAAGUCGAACGGCAGCACAGUAAGAGCUUGCUCUUACGGGUGGCGAGUGGCGGACGGGUGAGGAAUACAUCGGAAUCUACUUUUUCGUGGGGGAUAACGUAGGGAAACUUACGCUAAUACCGCAUACGACCUACGGGUGAAAGCAGGGGAUCUUCGGACCUUGCGCGAUUGAAUGAGCCGAUGUCGGAUUAGCUAGUUGGCGGGGUAAAGGCCCACCAAGGCGACGAUCCGUAGCUGGUCUGAGAGGAUGAUCAGCCACACUGGAACUGGAACACGGUCCAGACUCCUACGGGGGGCAGCAGUGGGGAAUAUUGGACAAUGGGCGCAAGCCUGAUCCAGCCAUACCGCGUGGGUGAAGAAGGCCUUCGGGUUGUAAAGCCCUUUUGUUGGGAAAGAAAAGCAGCAGGUUAAUACCCCGCUGUUCUGACGGUACCCAAAGAAUAAGCACCGGCUAACUUCGUG